rnacentral:tRNA from 1 species
GCGAGGGUGGCGGAAGUGGUAGACGCGCACGUUUGAGGGGCGUGUGAUGUAUGUCAUGCGGGUUCAAGUCCCGUUCCUCGCACCA